GUCUUCGUAUUUCGUAUGGGGUAUUCCAUAAUCCUUGUUUGUGAUGAUCAUUCGUGCUUAGACAAUGAUUAUUCAUUAACGUUAUUCUUGUAGCAGAAAUAGAGCACUGAAAGAAGGCAAAAAAAGGUCUCAAAUUAACCAAUACACAGAAUUCAUAUAUGGGUUGAAACUACAAUUUUUGGCUUAGGAGUUAGGCCUUCUGAUAUGCUGCAUAAUAGGCCUAUCUAUCAGAAAUAAAACUCAUAAAACCCAUAAAUUAAUCACAGAACACAGCUUGAUUGUUCAUAGCAUUAUUUUGCCUGGAAGUAUCCGUACUCGGAUUGGCUUUGGAUCGAGUAUCCUGGAAAGAUGUUGAGUCGAUGCUCUUUGUAUGGUUGAGGGACGGGGUCGGGGUACGAUGAAGCCUGCAACGGAAGGAACCUGCAUGAGUUGUUGGUGAGCAUAAGCAAUUAUUUCUUGAAGUACUUCCUUGUCUAGCAAGCUUCCCAGCAGAUGAUGGAGAUAUAACUUCAGACUCUGAGGGAAUUUCAACCUUCAUAUCUUUACUACUCAUUGUUUGAAUUGAUGUUGUUACUGUCCUGAAAUCAUUAAACGUUGUACAGUUUAUGUAAGAAAAUUAUGUGGCUGACAUUUGAGGGAAUGUAGAAAAAAGAAUGUAAAAAGAAUCAAACUUUUGUUGACAAAUAAUUUCCCAAAAUCAAAAACCUGAAUAGUGAUCAUGGAGAGUACCUUUUGAAGGGUUCCUCAAAUGGCUAAGGACACUACCAAGAAUUUGCUUGGAGAAUUUCCCUGUGCUUUAAAUAAAGAUAAGGAGGGAUAAAGGGAUGUGGAAUGGAUGACUCUAGGUAAAGAUAAGAAAGGAGAUAGGCAAGCACUAUGUUAAUCAAAUCAAG
rnacentral:lncRNA from 1 species